CACAGCUUGCUAGACUUUACUGGCUCAGGCAGUGCUUGUCUGAGCAGUCAGCAUCCCCACCUUUGCCUAGAAUCUCUCCCAUGAGCUCCAGAAGUGGGGAAGGAAGUUGGAAAUAUCACUAUUCCAGUGUUCCAGACAGCUCCAGCAUGUUCCUGCAGAUGGCAAAUGGAAGAUUUCCCCAGGUCCAGGCCCCAAAGUCCAGGAAUAUACGGGUCCGGAAUCUACAGCUCACAGGAACUUCCAUGUCUGGAAUGAGUGCUGGAUGGCCCGGAAGGAUCUGCCCCCUGCAUAUGGAGGCUGGCAGGUGCUGGACGCCACACCUCAGGAGAUGAGCAACGGUGAGGCUCUCCAGAAGAAAGGCAGGCCCCGCUCCCGUGGAAAGCACCCCACCCCUGCCCAGCCCUGCAACAAACAGCCCACCGAGGCUCCCCUGUUCUCCUUCAGGCGU
rnacentral:lncRNA from 1 species